GGCAAGUGAUGUCUUUUCUCACGAUGGUCUGCGGAUGCCACCGCGGGCAAUGCCGAUAAUGCCAAAGGCUUAGCUGAUGCCAAGAG
ensembl:snoRNA Snord35a small nucleolar RNA, C/D box 35A